rnacentral:rRNA from 1 species
GAUGAACGCUGGCGGCGUGCUUAACACAUGCAAGUCGAACGGGAAAUAUUUCAUUGAGACUUCGGUGGAUUUGAUCUAUUUCUAGUGGCGGACGGGUGAGUAACGCGUGGGUAACCUGCCUUAUACAGGGGGAUAACAGUCAGAAAUGGCUGCUAAUACCGCGUAAGCGCACAGAGCUGCAUGGCUCAGUGUGAAAAACUCCGGUGGUAUAAGAUGGACCCGCGUUGGAUUAGCUAGUUGGUGGGGUAACGGCCCACCAAGGCGACGAUCCAUAGCCGGCCUGAGAGGGUGAACGGCCACAUUGGGACUGAGACACGGCCCAGACUCCUACGGGAGGCAGCAGUGGGGAAUAUUGCACAAUGGGGGAAACCCUGAUGCAGCGACGCCGCGUGAAGGAAGAAGUAUCUCGGUAUGUAAACUUCUAUCAGCAGGGAAGAUAGUGACGG